CGGUAUCAGCCCGGGAGUUGAAAUGGCUUUCCCUCCAGAGUGGAUCCUGAGUACGGCGGAGCACGUGAAAUUCCGUCGGAAUCCGGGAGGACCAUCUCCCAAGGCUAAAUACUCCCUAGUGACAGAUAGUGAACCAGUACCGUGAGGGAAAGGUGAAAAGCACCCCGGAAGGGGAGUGAAACAGUUCCUGAAACAGUGUGCCUACAAGUAGAUAGAGCCCGUUAAUGGGUGAUAGCGUGCCUUUUGUAGAAUGAACCGGCGAGUUACGAUUUGUUGCAAGGCUACGCGGAAAAAGCGGAGCCGUAGCGAAAGCGAGUCUGAAU
rnacentral:rRNA from 1 species